rnacentral:rRNA from 9 species
AGUAGGUCGGGACACGUGUUAUCUUGACUGAAUAUGGGGGGACCAUCCUCCAAGGCUAAAUACUCCUAACUGACCGAUAGUGAACCAGUACCGUGAGGGAAAGGCGAAAAGAACCCCUGUGAGGGGAGUGAAAUAGAACCUGAAACCGGAUGCCUACAAACAGAGGGAGCCUGAAAUGGUGACCUCGUACCUUUUGUAUAAUGGGUCUGCGACUUAGUCUGGCGAGCAAGCUUAAGGCGAUAGCUGUAGGCGAAGCGAAAGCGAGUCUGAACAGG